UGCGGGGUAGAGCAGUUGGUAGCUCGUCGGGCUCAUAACCCGGAGGUCGGAGGUUCGAGUCCUUCCCCCGCUA
rnacentral:tRNA from 1 species